rnacentral:miRNA from 1 species
UUUCGUCUACAUCUUCAUCAUU